rnacentral:rRNA from 1 species
AUUGAACGCUGGCGGCAGGCCUAACACAUGCAAGUCGAGCGGAUGAAGGGAGCUUGCUCCUGGUUUCGGCGGCGGACGGGUGAGUAAUGCAUAGGAAUCUGCCUGGUUGUGUGGGAUAACGUCCGGAAACGGGCGCUAAUACCGCAUACGUCCUGAGGGCGAACGUGGGGGAUCUUCGGAUCUCACGCUCUUAGAUGAGCCUAGGUCGGAUUAGCUAGUUGGUGGGGUAACGGCCUACCAAGGCGACGAUCCGUAACUGGUCUGAGAGGAUGAUCAGUCACACUGGAACUGAGACACGGUCCAGACUCCUACGGGAGGCAGCAGUGGGGAAUAUUGGACAAUGGGCGAAAGCCUGAUCCAGCCAUGCCGCGUGUGUGAAGAAGGUCUUCGGAUUGUAAAGCACUUUAAGUUGGGAGGAAGGGCAGUAAGUUAAUACCUUGCUGUUUUGACGGUACCAACAGAAUAAGCACCGGCUAACUUCGUG